AUUGGACGCUGGCGGCAUGCUUUACACAUGCAAGUCGAACGGUAACAGGCCUUCGGGUGCUGACGAGUGGCGAACGGGUGAGUAAUGCAUCGGAACGUGCCCAGAGGUGGGGGAUAACGCAGCGAAAGCUGUGCUAAUACCGCAUGUGAUCUGAGGAUGAAAGCAGGGGACCAGGCAGCAAUGUUUGGCCUCGCGCCUUUGGAGCGGCCGAUGUCAGAUUAGGUAGUUGGUGGGGUAAAGGCCUACCAAGCCGACGAUCUGUAGCUGGUCUGAGAGGACGACCAGACACACUGGGACUGAGACACGGCCCAGACUCCUACGGGAGGCAGCAGUGGGGAAUUUUGGACAAUGGGCGCAAGCCUGAUCCAGCAAUGCCGCGUGCGGGAAGAAGGCCUUCGGGUUGUAAACCGCUUUUGUACGGAACGAAAAGGCUCUGGCUAAUACCUGGGGCUGAUGACGGUACCGUAAGAAUAAGCACCGGCUAACUACGUG
rnacentral:rRNA from 1 species